AUAAGAAAAGAAAGAUUGAAAAAGAAAAGGAUGAUGAGGAUGUCAAAAUAAUCAAAGUGGAAAAAAAAUAAGAGAUCGACUUAUCAAAGAGUUACCGAUAAGGAAUUGAUGAAACAAGUGUUGGUAGAUCUUUCUGAUAAGCAUAAAGAAGCAAUUAAAAAAAUUGGAUUUGGAGCUUUUUUGAACUUGGAUGCACCGCAUUAUGUGGAUUCUUGGUAAGCACUAGCGUUAACUUUUAUUUUUUGUUUUUAUUAUUUAAAUAUCAUCUAUUAUGUUCUAAUUCUUAUAAAAUUCUAAUUACUGUUCUAAAGUUUAAUUAUCAUGUUAAUUUUUAUUUUUAUUUAAAUUCUAAUCUAUAUGUAUUUUGUAUUCUAAACCUUUAAUUUAAAUCUAGGUUGACACAACAACUUCUUUCGAAUUUUGAUCGCAAGAGAUGUUGCUUGAUGCUACCGGGGAGAGAAAAAGAAAUACUCUUUGAUGAAUUUGAUGUUCACAUACAUAUGGAUUGCCAAUGGGAGAUAUAGCAAUUCUUGAUACAAUAGAAAACAAGAAUGAAUGUGCAAAUUUUAUGCAAAAAUGAAGAAAAAACUUUAACCUUAAAGUGGUAUCCUAUUUUGAUCGGGUACCAAGGAAGGGGUUAGAGAUACCACGUCAAGUUCCAUUAAUAUCAUUGUGGAACCAAGAAAGGUUCCAUAUAAGAUUGAAGUUUGAGAAAGACCUUGGAUUUGGAAAAGGAAAAGUACUAGAAAGAAUGAAAUUGAAUGUGGGAUUGGAAAAAAGGCAAGAGAAUGACAAAGGCAAGAAGAAAGUAAUAAAAAAGCAAGGGAAAGACAAAGGAAAAGAGAAAGUUGUGGAAAACCAACCAAUGACAUGUGAUUCUAUCACGUCUCUAAAUGAUAUGAUGGUAUAAUGUUUUAAUAUUUUUUUUAUUAAUUUAUUUACUUAUUUCUAUAAUAUUUUAAAUAUUCAUUAUUUUAUGUUCUAAAUUAUUAGGGUUUUUUAAGCAAAUUUGGAGAUUUGGCAAAAAGUCUUGCAUCGAAUGUAAAAGAGAUGUAUAGCAUGUUGGAACAAACAAAGGAUAUCUUCGUUGAGGAAGAAACAACGGGGAAAAUGCAUCAUCUUAUAGACAACAUUUGGUGCAAGUAUACC